GACGAACGCUGGCGGCGUGCCUAACACAUGCAAGUCGAACGGAAAGGCCCUGCUUUUGUGGGGUGCUCGAGAGGCGAACGGGUGAGUAACACGCGAGUAACCUGCCCCUGACUUUGGGAUAACUUCAGGAAACUGGGGCUAAUACCGGAUAGGAGCUCCUGCUGCAUGGUGGGGGUUGGAAAGUUUCGGCGGUUGGGGAUGGACUCGCGGGUUAUCAGCUUGUUGGUGGGGUAGUGGCUUACCAAGGCUUUGACGGGUAGCCGGCCUGGGAGGGUGACCGGCCACAUUGGGACUGAGAUACGGCCCAGCCUCCUACGGGAGGCAGCAGUGGGGAAUAUUGCACAAUGGGCGGAAGCCUGAUGCGGCAACGCCGCGUGCGUGAUGACGGCCUUCGGGUUGUAAACCGCUUUGUCCUGUGACGAAGCGAGAGUGACGGUAAUGGGUAAAGAAGCAACGGCUAACUACGUG
rnacentral:rRNA from 1 species